rnacentral:rRNA from 1 species
AGGUCAAGCUACAAAGGGCGUAUGGUGAAUGCCUUGGCAUCAGGAGCCGAUGAAGGACGUGAUAAGCUGCGAUAAGCUUCGGGUAGACGCACAUAGUCUGAGAUCCGAAGAUUUCCGAAUGAGGAAACUCACAUGGGAAACCCCAUGUAUCCUUAACUGAAUAAAUAGGUUAAGGAGGGUAAACCUAGGGAACUGAAACAUCUAAGUACCUAGAGGAAGAGAAAGAAAAAUCGAUUUUCUUAGUAGCGGCGAGCGAAAGGGAAAGAGCCCAAACCGGAAACUUGUUUCCGGGGUUGCGGACAUAACAUAAAAGUAGAGGCUAUUGUAACUGAAGAGAACUGGAAAGUUCCACCGUAGAAGGUAAUAGUCCUGUAAGUGAAACGAGAAGACUACGAGUUAUGAUCCAGAGUACCACGAGACACGUGAAACCUUGUGGGAAGCAGGGAGGACCACCUCCCAAGGCUAAAUACUACCUGAUGACCGAUAGUGAAGCAGUACCGUGAGGGAAAGGUGAAAAGAACCCCGGGAGGGGAGUGAAAUAGAACCUGAAACCAUAUGUCCACAACCGGUCAAAGCACCAUAUGAGUGCGAUGACGUGCUUUUUGUAGAACGAGCCAACGAGUUACGGUAUGUAGCGAGGUUAAGUACUUAAGGUACGGAGCCGAAGGGAAACCGAGUCUGAAUAGGGCGACUAGUUGCAUGCCGUAGACCCGAAACCGGGUGACCUAUCCAUGGCCAGGUUGAAGCGGGGGUAAAACCCCGUGGAGGACCGAACCACGUUGGUGUUGAAAAACCAUGGGAUGAGCUGUGGAUAGCGGAGAAAUUCCAAUCGAACCCGGAGAUAGCUGGUUCUCCCCGAAAUAGCUUUAGGGCUAGCGUUGAAUAUGAGUAGUGGAGGUAGAGCACUGAAUGGGCUAGGGGGCAUAUCGCUUACCGAACCUUAUCAAACUCCGAAUGCCAUAUACUUUUAGUUCAGCAGUCAGACUACGAAUGAUAAGAUCCGUGGUCAAAAGGGAAACAGCCCAGAUCGUCAGCUAAGGUCCCAAAGUGUAAGUUAAGUGGAAAAGGAUGUGGGAUUUCUAAGACAACUAGGAUGUUGGCUUAGAAGCAGCCACUCAUUAAAAGAGUGCGUAAUAGCUCACUAGUCGAGAGAUCCUGCGCCGAAGAUGUCCGGGGCUCAAACUUACCACCGAAGCUACGGGCUUGAAUUAAUUCAAGCGGUAGGGGAGCGUCGUAAUCGGGCUGAAGUCGUACCGUAAGGAGCGGUGGACUGAUUACGAGUGAGAAUGUUGGCAUUAGUAGCGAGAUGUGGGUGAGAAUCCCACAGGCCGAAAACCUAAGGUUUCCUCAGGAAGGCUCGUCCGCUGAGGGUUAGUCGGGACCUAAGCCGAGGCCGAAUGGCGUAGGCGAUGGACAACUGGUUGAUAUUCCAGUACCACUACCAUCGUUAAUAUCGAUGGCGUGACGCAGGAGGAUAGUGUGUGCUAGCUAUUGGAUGCUAGUCUAAGCACUUAGGCAGUUAUGGUAGGCAAAUCCGCCAUAAUAAUGUUGAGGUGUGAUGGGGAAGGUUCUACGGAACCGAAGUACAUGAUUCCACGCUGCCAAGAAAAGCGUCUAGAGAGAGAAGUAGUGCCCGUACCGCAAACCGACACAGGUAGGUGAGGAGAGAAUCCUAAGGCCGGCGGAAGAAUUGCAGUUAAGGAACUCGGCAAAUUGACCCCGUAAGUUCGCGAGAAGGGGUGCCUACGAGAGUAGGCCGCAGAGAAUAGGCCCAAGCAACUGUUUAGCAAAAACACAGGUCUCUGCUAAAGCGUAAGCUGAUGUAUAGGGGCUGACGCCUGCCCGGUGCUGGAAGGUUAAGGGGAACACUUAGCGUAAGCGAAGGUGUGAACUUAAGCCCCAGUAAACGGCGGCCGUAACUAUAACGGUCCUAAGGUAGCGAAAUUCCUUGUCAGGUAAGUUCUGACCCGCACGAAUGGCGUAAUGACUUGGGCACUGUCUCAACUGCAAAUCCGGCGAAGUUGUAGUGCGAGUGAAGAUGCUCGCUACCCGCGAUUGGACGGAAAGACCCCGUAGAGCUUUACUGUAGCUUAGCAUUGAAUUUCGGUAUUGUCUGUACAGGAUAGGUGGGAGACUGAGAAACUAGGGCGUCAGCCUUAGUGGAGUCGACCUUGGGAUACCACCCUGACAGUACUGGAGUUCUAACUGGCGGCCAUGAAUCUGGUCACAGGACAUUGUUAGGUGGGCAGUUUGACUGGGGCGGUCGCCUCCUAAAAAGUAACGGAGGCGCCCAAAGGUUCCCUCAGAACGGUCGGAAAUCGUUCGAAGAGUGCAAAGGCAGAAGGGAGCCUGACUGCGACACCCACAAGUGGAGCAGGGACGAAAGUCGGGCUUAGUGAUCCGGUGGUACCUCGUGGGAGGGCCAUCGCUCAACGGAUAAAAGCUACCUCGGGGAUAACAGGCUGAUCUCCCCCAAGAGUCCACAUCGACGGGGAGGUUUGGCACCUCGAUGUCGGCUCGUCGCAUCCUGGGGCUGAAGUAGGUCCCAAGGGUUGGGCUGUUCGCCCAUUAAAGCGGCACGCGAGCUGGGUUCAGAACGUCGUGAGACAGUUCGGUCCCUAUCCGUCGCGGGCGUAGGAAAUUUGAGAGGAGCUGUCCUUAGUACGAGAGGACCGGGAUGGACUGACCUCUGGUGUACCAGUUGUUCUGCCAAGAGCACAGCUGGGUAGCUAAGUCGGGAAGGGAUAAACGCUGAAAGCAUCUAAGCGUGAAGCCUACCUCAAGAUGAGAUUUCCCAUAGCAUAAGCUAGUAAGACCCCUUGAAGAACACAAGGUUGAUAGGUCAG